rnacentral:tRNA from 1 species
GCCCCGGUAAUCCAACGGCAGAGAUAAUGGUCUCAAACACCAUACAGUGUGGGUUCGAAUCCCACCCGGGGUA